rnacentral:rRNA from 1 species
AGUAGUUGAUCCUGCUCAGACACGCUGGCGGCAUGCCUAACACAUGCAAGUCGAACGAUGCUUUCGGGCAUAGUGGCGCACGGGUGCGUAACGCGUGGGAAUCUGCCCUCAGGUUCGGAAUAACAGUUGGAAACGACUGCUAAUACCGGAUGAUGACGUUAAGUCCAAAGAUUUAUCGCCUGAGGAUGAGCCCGCGUAGGAUUAGCUAGUUGGUGUGGUAAGAGCGCACCAAGGCGACGAUCCUUAGCUGGUCUGAGAGGAUGAUCAGCCACACUGGGACUGAGACACGGCCCAGACUCCUACGGGAGGCAACAGUGGGGAAUAUUGGACAAUGGGCGCAAGCCUGAUCCAGCAAUGCCGCGUGAGUGAUGAAGGCCUUAGGGUUGUAAAGCUCUUUUACCCGGGAUGAUAAUGACAGUACCGGGAGAAUAAGCUCCGGCUAACUCCGUA